GGUCACCGCAAGGGAAGCUGGCGACCGAAGCCCCGAUAAACGGCGGCCGUAACUAUGACGGUCCUAAGGUAGCGAAAUUCCUUGUCGGGUAAGUUCCGACCCGCACGAAAGGCGUAACGAUUUGGACACUGUCUCGGAGAGGGACUCGGCGAAAUAGACUUGUCUGUGAAGAUGCGGACUACCUGCACCUGGACAGAAAGACCCUAUGAAGCUUUACUGUAACUUGAAAUUGAAACUGGACUUUGUUUGCGCAGUAUAGGUGGGAGGCUUUGAUGAUUUUCUUGCGGGAAAGUCGGAGCCAUCAGUGAGAUACCACUCCUAUAAUGUUAGGUUUCUAACUUUGAAUCAUUAUCUGGUCAGAGGACAGUUUCAGGCGGGCAGUUUGACUGGGGCGGUCGCCUCCCAAAUGGUAACGGAGGCGUACAAAGGUUUCCUCUGAACGGGUAGAAAUCGUAUCUAGAGUAUAAAGGCAAAAGGAAGCUUGACUGUGAGACCUACAAGUCGAGCAGGGACGAAAGUCGGUCUUAGUGAUCUGGCGGUAUUACGUGGAAAAGCCGCCACUCAACGGAUAAAAGUUACUCUAGGGAUAACAGGCUGAUCUCCCCCAAGAGUUCACAUC
rnacentral:rRNA from 1 species